rnacentral:lncRNA from 1 species
GUCCGUGAAAAUAAGAGUUGCAAAUACUUAUACAACUGCAUCCCUAAUAUCAUUUACAGUUUAUAAGUGGUUUAUCUAAAACUGACCUCAUCACACAAAUUGCCAUCUCCAGUACAUCCCAGAACAGCAUGCUAUCGUCUUGUCUUCCAGUCUUUGCUGAGGUGAAACAACAACAGCAAAGGAGCAGGUAUAUUUUUAAGCCUUUUCUGCUUUCUUCAUUGCAAAUAGAUAUUCACCAAAGUUUCAUGCAUAUUUGUUAAAGUGUUUUUCAAAUUAUUGUCAGACAUGUGAGGGACAGACAGAUGGAUUACAGUUUACCAUAAUACAUCCCAUACAUGAGCAUCUAAGAAGAUAUAAACAAUUCACA